rnacentral:rRNA from 1 species
CAAAGGGAGCAAUCCCGGCCACGGAUGGGCAUGCGGCGCAUUAGCUAGUCGGCGGGGUAACGGCCCACCGAGGCGACGAUGCGUAGGGGUUCUGAGAGGAAGGCCCCCCACACUGGUACUGAGACACGGACCAGACUCCUACGGGAGGCAGCAGUGAGGAAUAUUGGUCAAUGGGCGCGAGCCUGAACCAGCCAAGUCGCGUGAGGGAGGACGGCCCUACGGGUUGUAAACCUCUUUUGCCGGGGAGCAACGGGCGUCACGUGUGGCGCCACUGAGAGUACCCGGAGAAAAAGCAUCGGCUAACUCCGUGCCAGCAGCCGCGGUAAUACGGAGGAUGCGAGCGUUAUCCGGAUUUAUUGGGUUUAAAGGGUGCGUAGGCGGAUCGUUAAGUCAGUGGUCAAAUUGAGGGGCUCAACCCCUUCCCGCCAUUGAAACUGGCGUUCUUGAGUGGAAGAGAAGUAUGCGGAAUGCGUGGUGUAGCGGUGAAAUGCAUAGAUAUCACGCAGAACCCCGAUUGCGAAGGCAGCAUGCCGGCUUCCGACUGACGCUGAAGCACGAAAGCGUGGGGAUCGAACAGGAUUAGAUACCCUGGUAGUCCACGCGGUAAACGAUGAGCGCUAGGUGUCCGGGGGGAAUGGCCCCUGG